rnacentral:rRNA from 1 species
UACGUAGGGGGCAAGCGUUGUCCGGAAUCAUUGGGCGUAAAGCGCGCGUAGGUGGCCCCAUAAGUCCGCUGUGAAAGUCAAAGGCUCAACCUUUGAAAGCCGGUGGAUACUGUGGGACUAGAGUACGGAAGAGGCGAGUGGGAUUCCUGGUGUAGCGGUGGAAUGCGCAGAUAUCAGGAGGAACACCAAUAGCGAAGGCAGCUCGCUGGGACGUUACUGACACUGAGGCGCGAAAGCGUGGGGAGCGAACAGG